rnacentral:lncRNA from 1 species
GUCAACCAAAUUAAAUCACCAAUUUCAAUAGGACAUCUAGCUUAUUUAAAGAAAACACCAUUUCCAAACAUUUACAUAUAUAAACAUAAUUAUAUCAAAAUAUAUACAUCAUUUACCAAGAUUAUAAGUUAUAUAUCAUACAUGUAAAAUUCACCAAAAUUAUCCAUGGACGAAAAAUUUUAACCAACUAAUACCCCCUAAGUACAUGCCAAAAACACCAAAAGAGGACAUCACCGACGUUGAGUACGGGAUUCUUAUAGGAUGCUGAGUCCGAUUCUACUAUUUAUCUAACCUGUAAACCUGGAAAGCAAUCCACAUUAAGUAGAUUUCACUUAUUUGAAUAGCCACAAGUAUAUCUAAAGCAUUUGAAUUUAUUUCACAACUUUAAUAAUCUAAUUCAAGAAAUAUGUCAUACCUUCCAAUGAAUUAAUAUAUAUACAUAAGUAAAUAUAAUUCUUCCUUAGUAAUACCUAUAACCAACCGUCUUCGAUGGUUCAUAUAACCUUGAUGUAUAGUCCAAUCGAUACAUGGCACCCGGUGCCUAGCGGGUAAACCACGGAAGAGUUUGCGCCCAACGCUUGUCGGAUAAACCGAAAAAUGUGUGCCCAGCACUAGUCAAAUAAACUGAUGGAAGUUGCGCCCAGCGCUAGUCGGAUAAACCGAAAAAUGUGUGCCCGGCACUAGUCAGAUAAAUCGACAAAUGUGUGCCCAGCACUAGUCAGAUAAACUGACAGAAGUUGCGCCCAGCGCUAGUUGGAUAAACCGACGAAUAAAUAGUGAGCCCAACUCUAGUUGACAUACCAACGAUAUUUGCGCCUAACACUAGUCGGAUAAACCGACGAAUAAAUACUUAUUUAUUUUCACAAUUUCCUCAUUCAUUAAUUAACAUCAUCAUUCAAAUAUGAACAUAAGAUUGUAUAUCAAGUAUUUAAAUAACAUCUAAUUAUUAAUUAAAUAAAUGAUUAAUAAAAAGGUUAAGUUCGAGACUUCAAACUUACCAAAAUACGACAGGUGCUACGAAUUGCAGACGUCUACUCAGUGAUCUUUUCCUUCCCACGAUUGAUACCCGAUCUAUUCUUCUCUUUAUCAAAUUAACAAAUUAAUUUCAUUACUUAAUUUGAAUAGCAUACUUGCUUUUAAUUAAAUCAAUUAACCUUAGAUCAUAAUUUAUACUUUUACCCUCAACAAUUGACAUUUACUCAACUUAAACAUUAACAUCAAAAUUAGCUUGAUUGCAUCUUCAUCUAAUUUCCAUAACUAACCACAUAUACAUAUAAUUUAUUAACAAUCCCUAAAUUCUUGAAUUUCAUAACUUAACACCAUACUAGUUUAAUUUAUAGCAUUCAACUCCUUGAAAGCUAAUACUAAUAAAACUCAUAAUACAAAAUAUUUUACUUGCUCCCUAAACUUAGUAAUUCAACUCAAAUUUCCAGCACAAAAGAACAAUCCACCAAAACAGUCCCUAGACUUCACAAAAAUUAACAAUUUAACCCCUAAUUCUAUCAAAACAACUUCAAACAUUAGAGUUUUUCAACAAUGGCAGCUUCCACAAAUAUCAUAAUUUUUCUAAAUUUCCACAUGGGUAAUCUACUACAUGAUUUUAAGGUUCCAAAAAUAUAAAGUUUAAUUGAAAAUAAUCAAAUCAUACCAAUAAAGUUAUGCUUCAAAAAUGAAACUUAAAAGCCGAAUGGUGCUAACCUUUUUCUUCUCCAAAUCCGCAUGCAAAAGAGAUGAAGCUUUAAUUUUGUUUCUCUUUCCAUUUUCUUUCCCCACUACUCUAUUUGUUUCUUUUAUUUUAUUCAUAUUUUCAUUUCAUUUUUAUUAUAACUUAACAUAAUUACUAAUUUAAGCAUUAUCAUACAAUUAACAUAUAUUACAUAUAUAUAAUUCCCUCAUAAUUAUCCAUUAACCAAAACUCAUUAAAUUAAUGGACUAUUUAUUUAAAUAGUCCCUUAUUCUAAUCCCACUUUGAAAUUUAAUACUAAUUACUAAUUUAUCACCCACUUAUUUUAAUUUAAUAAUUCAACCCCCAAGAAUAUUUAUACUCAAACUUUUAACCCUUUAAACAAACUUCACAUCUUUGCAGUCAAUAUGUAUAUACCAUUAAAUCCUUAAUCCAAAACCUCCAAAUUUUAGUUUUCCCCCAUCAAUUCCCAUCAAACCAAUUUAUAUUAUUUUCCAGCAUUCCCUUAAUCACUAUAAAUCAUGAUUUAAACCAUGUUAUUUUGAAUUUACAAUAUUUAAGUCCCUAGAGAUUAAUAUCAACAAAAAUCAUCACUCAAUUUGACCAAAUUAGCCCAUAAGACCUAUAAUUUACUCAUCACCUCAAAGACAUUUAACAUUCUAUAUAAAAAAAAACAGUACCUACACUCUUCAUGAUUUAUCAAAUCAGUCCCUACUUAAGCUUGGUCUAGCUUCAACAAUUUUAAAAGUGCAAAAUUUACUAAAGUGGUAGCUCAAACACGUACAUAUAUAUAAAUAUAAUUUCAUAAUCACUCACAAAUUUAACAUCCAACCAAAUAACACCAAGCAUCAAUAGUAACUUCUACAAAUAUCAUUAAUUCUCACAAUUUCAGCAUGGGCAAAUUAACUCAUAACAUUAAGACUUCAAAAACAUAAAUUUCAUCUAAAAAUAACCAAAAUUCACUAACCAAAUUAAACAUGCAACAAGAGCUCUUGGCCGUGCAACUUCUCCCCUCUUUCCUUUUUGUUUCGGAAAGAAGAAAAUUAAAGAAAAUUUUUGCUUGGAAUUCCUCUCCCCACUAACCAUUAUCUCCCAUCUAUUAAUAAUAUAUAUAUAUCCUUUUAUAUAACAAAUUUUAACUUAAUUAUUAUACUAACUUAACACAUAUAAUACUUAUAAUAUUUACUAAAACCGUCCACCAUCACACACUUAUAUAAAUAAUGGCUUAUUUAUUUAAUAAGCCCCUUAAUAUAGAUUCACCUUAUAAUUUAGUAUUAAUUCUUACUUUUAUCACUUAUUUAAUUUAGUCCCUUUACUUUAAUUAAACACUCUUUCGUCAAAAUUACAUAACCAAAAAUUUAAUUCACUUCUAAUAUAACUCUGUAAAUAUUUAAUAAAAAUAUUUACGAGUCUAGUUUAGGGAAACGAGGUCCCGACACCUUAAUUUCCAAAACCAUUGACUUUAGAACUGAUACACUUGUACAUUGUCUAACUUUCUAAUAAUUAAAAUUAUUAGAUCAACCUCAAUAUAAUACUGUUAUACCUUCGUAAUUAUGAAUAAAUAAUAUUCACUAAAUCUAUCUUCGGAAAACAACAUUCUAAAACCACUGCUUUCGACUUUAUUAACUUUUGAGUCAUUACACCUAAAGUUGAUUUGUAGUUAGUAACUCAGUUCAAAUGUAAUAGCAUCCUAACAACCAUCAUGCAAUGAAACCAUUAAUCCCGAAUCUUCAUAACUCAGUUAUAAUCUAAGUAGCAUCACGCAAUGAACCAUUAAUCACAAAUCUUCAAAACUCAAUUUAAAUGCAGUAGCAUCCUAAGUACCAUCACCACCAUUAAUCCCAAAUCUUCAUAAUUCAGUUCAAAUACAAUAGCAUCUUAAAAUCCAUCACGCAAUGAAUUAUUUCCACUUUUCUUUUAACCCCAAAAAAAUGCAUAAAUAUGAACCAAUGAAAAAGUCAACACAGCAACACCAUCAAUCUUUCAUCUUUAAGAGAAAAAAUAAUUAUCAAAAACACCUUACAUGAAAAGGAGAACACCCAAAAAUCAACAGCUUAUAGCACUUAAAAAGCUAAAAUAAAAAACUUGUUUCAUUUGAGGAAAAUCUUGAUCCCAAAAUAGGCAAAUAAACUCGUGAUUCGACAUACUAAUUUGCAUAAGUAAAAAAAAAAACCAUCAGUUUUAGGGUUACCUAUGUUGCACAAGCUUCUUUGAAAAUUACUUGCUUUCAGUUCAAGAAGUCUGAAUCAGUACUGAGAGAUUGAUUAGCAAUUCUAUGAUCUAGUGUUCUUCAAUUGAGCCUGGAUUUUUUUCCUUGCUGAAGACUUUGCCUCUAAUUAAGAAUUUUUAUGAUCUCGAUUCCUAUGAGGAAAGGAUUGAAGAAGUUGGUGAGGAGCAAUGGUGUUUUAGGGCUUGGGAAAUGGAGAAGGGAAUGAAUGGGAAGGCUAUAGUUGAAAGUGCAGAAAGAACAAUGAUAAAAAAUGAGGGUAAAAAUGAAAAAAAAUAAUCUUUUAGCAUUCCUAUCGUGUUUUGAAUGGGCAAUUCAGAGGUUGGGACAAAAAGUGAUUAGUGGGAAUAGAAAACUAAACAUCUGAACCAAACAAUAGUUUAAAUUUACGUUUAUAUAUAUUAUAGGUUAAAUACAUUUUCUUAUAGAUAUUUUCUACUGUCACAUUAUACUUGAUUACUAGAUUUUACCAAUUAUUAAGUGAGUGAAGAAAAACAGUAA